AUUGAACGCUGGCGGCAUGCCUUACACAUGCAAGUCGAACGGCAGCACGGGUGCUUGCACCUGGUGGCGAGUGGCGAACGGGUGAGUAAUACAUCGGAACAUGUCCUCUAGUGGGGGAUAGCCCGGCGAAAGCCGGAUUAAUACCGCAUACGAUCUACGGGUGAAAGCGGGGGCCCUUCGGGCCUCGCGCUAUCGGGUUGGCCGAUGGCUGAUUAGCUAGUUGGUGGGGUAAAGGCCUACCAAGGCGACAAUCAGUAGCUGGUCUGAGAGGACGACCAGCCACACUGGGACUGAGACACGGCCCAGACUCCUACGGGAGGCAGCAGUGGGGAAUUUUGGACAAUGGGCGAAAGCCUGAUCCAGCAAUGCCGCGUGUGUGAAGAAGGCCUUCGGGUUGUAAAGCACUUUUGUCCGGAAAGAAAUCCUUGGCCCUAAUACGGUCGGGGGAUGACGGUACCGGAAGAAUAAGCACCGGCUAACUACGUG
rnacentral:rRNA from 1 species